rnacentral:rRNA from 1 species
AUUGAACGCUGGCGGAAUGCUUUACACAUGCAAGUCGAACGGUAGAGGGGGCAACCCCUUGAGAGUGGCGAACGGGUGAGUAAUAUAUCGGAACGUGCCCAGUCGUGGGGAUAACGUAGCGAAAGUUACGCUAAUACCGCAUACGAUCUAAGGAUGAAAGCGGGGGAUCGCAAGACCUCGCGCGAUUGGAGCGGCCGAUAUCAGAUUAGGUAGUUGGUGAGGUAAAGGCUCACCAAGCCAACGAUCUGUAGCUGGUCUGAGAGGACGACCAGCCACACUGGAACUGAGACACGGUCCAGACUCCUACGGGAGGCAGCAGUGGGGAAUUUUGGACAAUGGACGCAAGUCUGAUCCAGCCAUUCCGCGUGCAGGAUGAAGGCCCUCGGGUUGUAAACUGCUUUUGUACGGAACGAAAAGGUUUGUCUUAAUACGAUGAGCUCAUGACGGUACCGUAAGAAUAAGCACCGGCUAACUACGUAGCCAGCAGCC